CUGACAGGUUUUAAACUGAAAUGGGAGACAUUAAACUGACACUUAUUUGCCUUCUGUCUAGUGGAAUCUAGUGGAAGAUUAAUAUUUUGGUUGAGAAUAUAUUUUAUGCUAAAUACAAUAUUUUACUAGGCUUGAAAAUAUAGAAGAGUUUAAAUGUUUUGCUUUUUAGGUUUUAUGUGCAAUAAAAUGAUGACUGGUAUCAAAUAGGUGUAAUUUAAUUUUUAUGUGACUGUUUCUCCCUCUCCAAUUCUCAAAUAAAAUGCUCAGCACCUUUUAAAAAGCCCACCUGCACUAAGAGACUGCUUUUUGUUAGCCUCCAGAGCACUAGUUUUAAUUUGUUAACAGGAAAAUAUCUUUUGAAGGAGGAUUAUACAAGCUGAGAGAUGUUUUUAGAAUGGGAGAGAGAAAGUGAAAUUGAACUCCUGGAAACAGACUCAAGCACAGGAUAAAUAAGUGCAGCCUUAACCAUGCAUCCUCUUCUGCAAUAUGGUUAAAUUCUGCCUAUCUUCCUUGCUGCACGGGGAGGUCCUUCAGCCAGACCAUCCUGCUGCCCACUGUGCUGCAGCUAGCAGGAAAAAACAGAAUUGCUAAUGCUCUUUGUAAGGGUGGUUUAGAUUCUUUCAACCAUUUGGUCCUGCUUGUAGGAAUCCCUCUGGCAGAUCUUGUUCUUAAUUCAGCCCAAGGUGACCUUCCUCCCCUACUUUGCUAGCCACCAGGUCCAGGACUCUGUACAGAGAGGAGCCUAAACACAGAUAUGUGGAAAUGCAGGUGAGGGAGUUGUUCUCAGAGUUCAACAAAGGGAGCCUGGUCUGCUCCUGGAGCCCCCCUUUGAGGGCUACAAAGGGCAGCAACUUCACUGUGGGGCCUCCAGUGGCCAUGGCCAUGAAAUAAAGUCACAGAAGGGGACAAGAGGCAAGAUGCCAGCCUCUCCUUCAGGACCCUCUGAGGAUGGCUCAGCACUAUUACUUGUCAGCCUUGAUAAUCUCUGAGAACAGGAAGAUUCCUCUGCAGAGUUAAAACAUCUAAUUCCUUUCAUAGAUUUUCUUCUGAAAAGCUUCUGCUAUACAGCUAUGGCAGCAUUGUGUUACUUGUAUAUUACCUGUUUUUCUAACAUGAGGCUUUGCUGAAUGAAGUGUAUUUCCAUGCUCUUUGAACAGUACAAAUCUGGAAGCCACCUUUUUUAUUCUCAAAGGAUAUAAACCCCCACAACUCUUACCAAUAUAAAUAAGGUUUCAAAUAGGAUUUAAAGGUUGCUGAACUGAGCUUAUAGCAAACUACAAAUAGUAAAAAAAAAAACAACCAAAAAAAAAAAACCAAAAAAACUUACCUUUUUUUUGCUGUUUAAAUGGCUCAAGUAGACCAUCUGCCUCUGAAACAGCUCGUGUAUUUCUGCUUCUGGAACUGCUCAUGUAUUUUUGGAUUUGGUUACAAACUGACCACAGCAUUGCAAACAGCACUCAUCUGCAGAGAUAUCUGUUUUUAUACACAACAUGAGACUGGCAAGAGAGAUGUGUCUAAUCAGUGUUUUAGAAGUCAGACAGGAGUGGUAUGACUCCAGCUGGCACAGCCAUGUCCUUGUAAUUUCACUUCACUACCACUUAAUUUGUAUAAAAUUGGGACAAUUUUAAAUGGAUGUUACCAUAAUGGGAGAAUCUAAUGAAUUCCUAGUUUAGGGAAAAAUAAAACUGUCCAUCUAAGGUGACUUCACUUUAGCCUCCUGUGAGUCACAUGGGAUGUGGAAUUACAGCAUUUGUUGUUGAGCAGAAUUAUGGAUGAGGCCCAAGACUAACUGACAGCUCAGUUAUUUCUUCCUGAUGCAUUUCAUUAAUAGCCCCUGCACCUCUCACCUCCACCAAAUCGGCAGCUAGUGAGGUGCCUGUAAGAGGCUAAUUGCCUCCAGAGUCAAUUGUCCUGGAGCCAAUUGUUAAUCUCCUGGUGUUAAUUGCCAAAAUUAGGGGAAUUCAGGGUAGGCAGGAGGCACGGGAGCUGCAUGCAUAUUAGAGCUGUGUAGCAAAAUGCAGGUGUUCAACUGUGCUCCAUGACACCACAGCAGAACAUAGAGAGUUGGAAACAUAAUGAGGCACAAUGGGAAGAAAACAGAAAUCUUCUGCGGCUACUGUGUAUUGUAAUGGCCAUUUUGCAAUCUAGUGACAACAAUUAAGUUAGCUUACAAAUUCCAGUCUGGAAAUUGCCUGCAUGACUCAAAGGGCUGAGAAACAUUUGAAAAAAUAGCCCUGAAGAUUUUUUCAAUGCUGGUGACACGAGUGGGAAAAUGAAAUUUUAAAAAAAAGGAGGAGUUCCAUAUCUUCUGGGCAAUCUGAAACACUGAGUUACAUAACAUCAAAUCAAAGCAACAAAGUUGCAGGUAUUUUAGGGGAAUCUCUUGGGUGGAAUGGAGAGGAGACCCUCUUACAAGGGAGCUUCUCUCAGUGUUCCCAAAAGUGCAGUGAAGCGCUGUCACAAGCCGCUGCUUGCUGCCCAAAGAGAAAGGCAAUCUCCUAGCACACUGCAGGGCAUUCCCUCCUCCAUGAGGAUGAAAGCCUCUGAGAUCAGCAGCACUCAGAAACACAGCGGUGCCUGCCUGCACUUGAGGACCUGUCAGUGCACUUUCACCACCAUGGCUUGUAUGCCUUGAGGAGGACUCUCUGCCUUCAGCGCUGGAGCCUGGGGUCAGCCUUCAGAGGCAGGAGCUCUGCAGGAAGCAGCCAGCCUGAGGAGAACCAGAAGCACUACUGCUGCUGCUGAGAACUUCUGCAGCAAGGGAUGGUGUUGUUCUCCAGCCUCCAGCCUGGGAUUUGUGCCAGUGGCACAGAAUGCUACUGUUUGGUUCUGUAAAGUCUCAAACCUCAUUUCAGUAAAAGUUGUGUUAAUGUGUAUCCAAGCUGUGCACACACUACUAAAAUCCACUUCUCUAAAGUGCUUUAUGAUCAUGGUUUAUAUUCUCCUUAGAAUGAAUCACAGAUGUUUUGUUGUUUGGGUUUUUUUUUUCCCUUUAAUCCCAUCAGUUACAUGGUGGGUGAGCACACUGUGGUGUGAACUAGGUCUGUUUAAUUUUUUACUUCACAAACUGGUAGUUAUAGGGGAAAAGGAGGGGAAGAAUGAUAUAAUCUUCCUUCGUGUGUCUGGACUACAAACCUACUUCCUCAGUGUCUUGAACUUAUGUGUCCAGGUCUUGGCAGCAGGAAGGCUGUGAGAAGAAAUCAGGGCCUGGCCCCAUCCCAGAUACAGCUGGCUCUAAAACACACCCACUGCUGUCCAAAGCUGAGUCUACCAGUGAGGCUGGUGGCACCUUGAUGGAAAAGUGUUGAAGAAAGGGUAAAACAUGCUGUGUAGAAGUUGUGAUAGAGAGAGGAAUGAGGCAAACUCCCCCAACAAAAUAAUAGCUGUGCAGGCAGCAAGGUCAAGGAAAAAAGAGAGGGAGGAGGUGCUCCAAGCACUGGAGCAGAGGUCAGCCCAUGGAGAAAGCUGUGCUGAGACAGGCUGUCCUCCUGCAGCCCCUGGAGGAUCAUGUCAGAGCAGAUAUCCACUGUGCAAGACCCUGUGCUGAAGUGUGAGGAGGAAGGGCAGGCAGAAAGGAACUGUUUUAUGGACUGACCACAAACCCCAUCCCUCCAUCCCCUUGUGCUGCUUGGGGGAGAGGGAGGCAGAAGAGUCAGGAGGUUGAGCUGGGAGGAAUGGGAUUUGGGGUGAAGGUGAGGUUAUUUUUCUGGAUUUUAUUGGGGUUUGGGGUUUUUUUGUCAUUGGUUUGUUUGGUUUUUUUGUU